rnacentral:rRNA from 1 species
AUGGGUNGUAAACUUCUUUUAUAAGGGAAUAAAGUGAGGGACGUGUCCCUUUUUGUAUGUACCUUAUGAAUAAGGAUCGGCUAACUCCGUGCCAGCAGCCGCGGUAAUACGGAGGAUCCGAGCGUUAUCCGGAUUUAUUGGGUUUAAAGGGAGCGUAGGUUGACAUAUAAGUCAGCUGUGAAAGUUUACGGCUCAACCGUGAAAUUGCAGUUGAUACUGUAUGUCUUGAGUGUACAAGAGGUGGGCGGAAUUCGUGGUGUAGCGGUGAAAUGCUUAGAUAUCACGAAGAACUCCAAUUGCGAAGGCAGCUCACUGGGGUACAACUGACACUGAGGCUCGAAAGUGUGGGUAUCAAACAGGAUUAGAUACCCUGGUAGUCCACACAGUAAACGAUGAAUACUCGCUGUUUGCGAUAUACAGUAAGCGGCCAAGCGAAAGCAUUAAGUAUUCCACCUGGGGAGUACGCCGGCAACGGUGAAACUCAAAGGAAUUGACGGGGGCCCGCACAAGCGGAGGAACAUGUGGUUUAAUUCGAUGAUACGCGAGGAACCUUACCCGGGCUUGAAUUGCAGAGGAACAUAGUUGAAAGAUUAUGGCCGCAAGGUCUCUGUGAAGGUGCUGCAUGGUUGUCGUCAGCUCGUGCCGUGAGGUGUCGGCUUAAGUGCCAUAACGAGCGCAACCCUUAUCAUUAGUUACUAACAGGUGAUGCUGAGGACUCUAGUGAGACUGCCGUCGUAAGAUGUGAGGAAGGUGG